UCUGGCUCUUACUUUUUUGGGGGGGUCAAACGGAGUUAAACAGCUGCGGCCGCUGUCGCCAUAGUGCUGCUACUGUAGAGGGCAGCGGAGAGCCGUGGGCUGUCACGCCGGGGAGCGGAGGAGUGCGGCGGCAGUGAGCUGCGCAGAGGCCCCUUUUAUAUGUGACUGCAUCACACUGACUCAUAUGCCGCCGCCCAGCCGCCAAUCCCAGGUCCGCGCUGCCAGUUCUCUAGAUUAGAUUCAGCAGCUGAGACUGAGCUGCUGUCAGUCAGUGUGCGGAGACAGUCCGGGCGGAGGGAGAGCUGGGGCCACAGUGCCCUCUCCUCCCAGCGCCUCCGCCUGUGUGUCGCUCCGGCCCGGCUUCCCCUCUCUGCUGGUGCUGUCGUUGCUGCCGGGAUCUGAUAUCACGAUCUGGUGCCCGUGCCCCGCGUAAUACCCAAGGACUGGUAGCAGUGCAGCUCUGCGCCAAGUGUAAUAGUACCAGUGCUGGAGGCUGCCAGUCAGGAGCUAUAUGGACAAACAGAAGUGCAGCCUUGUCCACUACCACAUAACUGAACCUAAUAAUACCAGGAAUAAUGUACACUGCAUGGGCGUGAGUUGGCUCUGAGACAUAUAAUGGGGAUUGCGGUACAAAACUGCACCCACUAUCAGGGCCGCAAUCAGAAGGAGACUGCCGGGACUCAAGUACCGGGCCUGGAGAGAGAGGGAGGCCCACCCUUGGUUCCUACCCAGGGAAAGAAUAUUAAUCCUUCUACAAGUCCGCCUCCCGGCUUCUGUGCUUCACUUAUGGCCUUUCGCAAGGUCUCAUCAGCCACCUGACAGGCUCCUUCAGAUUGGAUGUCAUAGCUGCAGCUCUAAUUAUCUGUGUGGGCCAGGCAGAGCACAGCUCCAAACAGCUGCAGGCAGCUAUAUGGAGCGGGACCCAGCAGUCAGCAUGUGUCGGCACCCGGCAUCAGCCUACACAUCACCCACAGCAUCAGUGGUGCUCCGACCUCAGAGUUUCCUGGUCCUGCAUCUCAAGGAUCCCCAAGGUAAAGAUAUGAAGAUUCCAAAAGCAGAUAAGGGCGUCAGCUGAUGGUGAUAGAAGUAGAUAAACAAUGACACAAAGUGUUUGUAUUCUUUUACAUGUAUCCAUGUCCAUGAAGGUGGCUCAUUUCUAGGUUGUCACCAGUCCUGGCUUGAUUUUUGCUUGAUGAACUUAAGACUUAGGAAAUACAGCAGAAGAAAUCCAGCACUUAUCCCAAUGAGUACAAGAUAAGAUGCAUAGAGAGGGUAUGUGUCCGCAUCCAUACUUUGGAUAAUCUGUAUGGAAGAUAAAAUAAAAAUGGUGAUUGAACAUCA